rnacentral:lncRNA from 1 species
AUUAACCUAGCACUAGCCCUAAUAACUGACACUUUAUUAACUCUAUUAUUAGUAGUAAUUACAUUUUGACUUGCAUAACUUAAUACUUACAUAGAAAAAUCCAGCCUUUAUGAAUGUAGAUUUGAUCCAUUAACCUCUACCCACCUCCUCUUCUCCAUAAAAUUCUUUCUAGUAGCCAUCACAUUUCUCCUAUUCGAUUAGAAAUCGUCCUAUUCCUACCCCUGCCAUGAGCCCUUCAAACAAAUAACCUUAUACUAAUAAUCAGUACAACCCUUCUACUAAUUACCAUUCUAAUCCUAGGCCUAAUUUAUGAAUGAACCCAAAAAGGAUUAGAUUGAGUUGAACUG